rnacentral:rRNA from 2 species
UUAAGCGACUAAGCGUACACGGUGGAUGCCCUGGCAGUCAGAGGCGAUGAAGGACGUGCUAAUCUGCGAAAAGCGUCGGUAAGGUGAUAUGAACCGUUACAGCCGGCGAUGUCCGAAUGGGGAAACCCAGUGCAAUUCGUUGCACUAUCGUUAACUGAAUACAUAGGUUAACGAGGCGAACCGGGGGAACUGAAACAUCUAAGUACCCCGAGGAAAAGAAAUCAACCGAGAUUCCCCCAGUAGCGGCGAGCGAACGGGGAGCAGCCCAGAGUCUGAAUCAGCUUGUGUGUUAGUGGAACGGUCUGGAAAGUCCGACGGUACAGGGUGAUAGUCCCGUACACCAAAAUGCACAGGCUGUGAACUCGAAGAGUAGGGCGGGACACGUGGUAUCCUGUCUGAAUAUGGGGGGACCAUCCUCCAAGGCUAAAUACUCCUGACUGACCGAUAGUGAACCAGUACCGUGAGGGAAAGGCGAAAAGAACCCCGGCGAGGGGAGUGAAAAAGAACCUGAAACCGUGUACGUACAAGCAGUGGGAGCACCUUCGGGUGUGACUGCGUACCUUUUGUAUAAUGGGUCAGCGACUUAUAUUCUGUAGCAAGGUUAACCGUAUAGGGGAGCCGCAGGGAAACCGAGUCUUAACUGGGCGUUAAGUUGCAGGGUAUAGACCCGAAACCCGGUGAUCUAGCCAUGGGCAGGUUGAAGGUUGGGUAACACUAACUGGAGGACCGAACCGACUAAUGUUGAAAAAUUAGCGGAUGACUUGUGGCUGGGGGUGAAAGGCCAAUCAAACCGGGAGAUAGCUGGUUCUCCCCGAAAGCUAUUUAGGUAGCGCCUCGUGAACUCAUCUUCGGGGGUAGAGCACUGUUUCGGCUAGGGGGUCAUCCCGACUUACCAACCCGAUGCAAACUACGAAUACCGAAGAAUGUUAUCACGGGAGACACACGGCGGGUGCUAACGUCCGUCGUGAAGAGGGAAACAACCCAGACCGCCAGCUAAGGUCCCAAAGUCAUGGUUAAGUGGGAAACGAUGUGGGAAGGCACAGACAGCCAGGAUGUUGGCUUAGAAGCAGCCAUCAUUUAAAGAAAGCGUAAUAGCUCACUGGUCGAGUCGGCCUGCGCGGAAGAUGUAACGGGGCUAAACCAUGCACCGAAGCUGCGGCAGCGACACUAUGUGUUGUUGGGUAGGGGAGCGUUCUGUAAGCCUGCGAAGGUGUGCUGUGAGGCAUGCUGGAGGUAUCAGAAGUGCGAAUGCUGACAUAAGUAACGAUAAAGCGGGUGAAAAGCCCGCUCGCCGGAAGACCAAGGGUUCCUGUCCAACGUUAAUCGGGGCAGGGUGAGUCGACCCCUAAGGCGAGGCCGAAAGGCGUAGUCGAUGGGAAACAGGUUAAUAUUCCUGUACUUGGUGUUACUGCGAAGGGGGGACGGAGAAGGCUAUGUUAGCCGGGCGACGGUUGUCCCGGUUUAAGCAUGUAGGCUGGUUGUCCAGGCAAAUCCGGAUAAUCAAGGCUGAGGUGUGAUGACGAGGCACUACGGUGCUGAAGUAACAAAUGCCCUGCUUCCAGGAAAAGCCUCUAAGCAUCAGGUAACAUUAAAUCGUACCCCAAACCGACACAGGUGGUCAGGUAGAGAAUACCAAGGCGCUUGAGAGAACUCGGGUGAAGGAACUAGGCAAAAUGGUGCCGUAACUUCGGGAGAAGGCACGCUGGUGUGUAGGUGAAGUCCCUGCGGAUGGAGCUGAGACCAGUCGAAGAUACCAGCUGGCUGCAACUGUUUAUUAAAAACACAGCACUGUGCAAACACGAAAGUGGACGUAUACGGUGUGACGCCUGCCCGGUGCCGGAAGGUUAAUUGAUGGGGUUAUCCGUAAGGAGAAGCUCUUGAUCGAAGCCCCGGUAAACGGCGGCCGUAACUAUAACGGUCCUAAGGUAGCGAAAUUCCUUGUCGGGUAAGUUCCGACCUGCACGAAUGGCGUAAUGAUGGCCAGGCUGUCUCCACCCGAGACUCAGUGAAAUUGAACUCGCUGUGAAGAUGCAGUGUACCCGCGGCAAGACGGAAAGACCCCGUGAACCUUUACUAUAGCUUGACACUGAACAUUGAGCCUUGAUGUGUAGGAUAGGUGGGAGGCUUUGAAGCGUGGACGCCAGUCUGCGUGGAGCCAACCUUGAAAUACCACCCUUUAAUGUUUGAUGUUCUAACGUUGGCCCCUUACCGGGGUUGCGGACAGUGUCUGGUGGGUAGUUUGACUGGGGCGGUCUCCUCCCAAAGCGUAACGGAGGAGCACGAAGGUUAGCUAAUCCUGGUCGGACAUCAGGAGGUUAGUGCAAUGGCAUAAGCUAGCUUGACUGCGAGCGUGACGGCGCGAGCAGGUGCGAAAGCAGGUCAUAGUGAUCCGGUGGUUCUGAAUGGAAGGGCCAUCGCUCAACGGAUAAAAGGUACUCCGGGGAUAACAGGCUGAUACCGCCCAAGAGUUCAUAUCGACGGCGGUGUUUGGCACCUCGAUGUCGGCUCAUCACAUCCUGGGGCUGAAGUAGGUCCCAAGGGUAUGGCUGUUCGCCAUUUAAAGUGGUACGCGAGCUGGGUUUAGAACGUCGUGAGACAGUUCGGUCCCUAUCUGCCGUGGGCGCUGGAGAAUUGAGGGGGGCUGCUCCUAGUACGAGAGGACCGGAGUGGACGCAUCACUGGUGUUCGGGUUGUCAUGCCAAUGGCACUGCCCGGUAGCUAAAUGCGGAAGAGAUAAGUGCUGAAAGCAUCUAAGCACGAAACUUGCCCCGAGAUGAGUUCUCCCUGAGACUUUAAGUCUCCUGAAGGAACGUUAAAGACGAUGACGUUGAUAGGCCGGGUGUGUAAGCGCAGCGAUGCGUUGAGCUAACCGGUACUAAUGAACCGUGAGGCUUAACCUU